rnacentral:rRNA from 1 species
CUUUCUUUGCUGGCGACCGGCGCACGGGUGAGUAACACGUAUCCAACCUGCCUUUACUCGGGGAUAGCCUUUCGAAGGAAAGAUUAAUACCCGAUAGCAUAAUGAUUCCGCAUGGUUUCAUUAUUAAAGGAUUCCGGUAAAGGAUGGGGAUGCGUUCCAUUAGGUUGUUGGUGAGGUAACGGCUCACCAAGCCUUCGAUGGAUAGGGGUUCUGAGAGGAAGGUCCCCCACAUUGGAACUGAGACACGGUCCAA